UCCUACGGGAGGCAGCAGUGGGGAAUUUUGGACAAUGGGGGCAACCCUGAUCCAGCGAUGCCGCGUGUGUGAAGAAGGCCUUCGGGUUGUAAAGCACUUUUAGUGGGAAAGAAAAGCUCAUGGAUAAUACCUGUGAGUAUUGACGUUACCCAAAGAAAAAGCACCGGCUAACUCUGUGCCAGCAGCCGCGGUA
rnacentral:rRNA from 1 species